CACAGAUCCUCGGCACUGGUUUGGCACAAGACUUCCCGAGCAGGACAUGUAACCCACAAAGUUUAGCCAGUAUCCAGGGCUCACAGCUUUGCUUCUUGUGAGAUUAAACGAAGAUGAUGGUCUUAAAAUGGUUUUACCACGAGAAAACAUCCACACAAGGAAUACAACUGUUUACUUCCCCUGAAGGCCUCACACUGCCAGUCUGAGGAGUUUACAACUAAAUGAUAAAGCCUGAGGGUUUACCACAGAUCAUGGGGAGACAAUGCAGAAAAGAGCCGAUAUAUAACUCAGAGGAAAGAUGGAUGGACUACCAAACACAGAGACUGUGUCCUCACCUGAUGAAAGGUCUGGAGAUGGCCAGGACGGUCCGGAUGAACCACGUUGGGUACGGUCUGAUGACCUGCAUGUCAAUCCGCUGCUCCUGAUCACCGAUGAUCACUGUUCGCCACAGACGGCCAGAUGAGUCUCUCUCCUCCUCACUUUCCCCUGGAAGACGCUUUGCAGUGGCCACAGGAGUGUCAUCUGGACACAAGGUGAAGACAAAGCUCGUUGCCGUUGUUGAUGAACUCGAGCGAGUCCGUCUCAUCAGGAGUCUCCAUGUCGUCUACGUUGAUGUCCAGGUCGUCGGGUGUUUCCAGAAAUUCAUCAGAGAGCACGGAGCCCUCGCUCUGAUCCAGGGACAGGUUCAUGUCGGGGGCGGCCAGCGUGCGGCGCUUACGCUGAGCCAUGGUCUCGCCCACAUUUAGAGUGGUGGGAUGAUCUGGACAGACGGGCCAUGAAAGUUUAGACACAGUACAUCUUUAACAAAAUAUAUAUAUGUUUAGUGAAUGAUGUGUAUUUACUCCACUUACUGGUUCUGUUGUCAGUGAGGCCAUCUCCAUCCUCUGGGAGUGGCCUGCAGGGAAAGGUAUGAACAAUCAACAAAAAUACAAUGACAUGGAAACACUAUAAAUACAAAUAAAAUGACAUAUUUAUGAAAUAUAUUUGAGCUUUGGCCUUUUGUUUUUCUCUUAUGUAGUAAACAACUGUCCUGAUGUUUUUUUUUAAUUGCUAGUUAUACAGUAAGCAUCAACAUUUAACAGUUACAUUACAUUACUUGCUACAUGUUUAAUAAAAACCUAAAAUGAUUUAUAAAGCAUGAGAAAUCUUUCCUAGCAAUUCCUCCCGCUUCUCUUUUGUUUUUGGAGUGGCGCUAUUGUUCAUUAACAAUGGUGUGUACGGGAAUCAAUGUGUUGUGCGAGAAAGCAACAUCUGUAAUUACCAACUCCCCCUUCGACAUUAUAAUAAGAUAGCUGGGGCACAAGAGGGCUAGAUUACGGUAGAUAGCCCUCGUACACACACCGACACACACACAGACACACAGAGAGAGAAAGACACAGACAUUAACACAGACAUGCAUGCAACGCCCUAAAACAGCACAAGUACAGGCGAGUUGAUGGAGCUUUUGGCAUAAUUGCUGUUAUUAAGUUGUCGCUGUGUGUUGUAGCUCUGUAGAGGUACGUUUACGGCAUCAACAGACAUUCAGGAGUGGAUAAGACAGUGGGAAGUAGAACAGUUUGCAUUGGAAAAAAGCCCUUUAAGAUCGUUGUAAAAUGUUGCUCUUACGUUUAAACUGUCUACAACACAUGUAUUGUUAUACACACUCAUUAUUGCUCUUCUCAUUUCUAAUGACAUCAUUACUAUCGUACUGUAUAAGCUUUCACAAGCUGAGCUACCAGGAUACCAUUGUUAUAUUAUUCUAUUUGUGUAAUACUAAGACAACUUCUUACAGAAACCUAUCAAAUAAAGACCGAAUCAUCUGAUAAACUAUGUACAAAUAUGCUUGUGAAUACACUGGAUGUCCUUUCCCCUACUUCUAUUUCAUAACCACAUUUCCUCAGCUGUAGAAAUGGGGCUUACCAGUUAAACA